AUUGAAGAUUCGAACACGAAUUUCUGAAGAUUUGUCACCAUGGGUGCCUUAACUAUCAAUAGCUGUAAGCGUCGUAACGAUUAUCUUAACUUAAAUUAUGCGGACGGAGGAAGGCUUAAAGUCUAACUUUCGGAAGGACUCUCUGAGGAUUGCAGCUUAGAUGUACAACCUGUAAUUAAGUACAGACAAAAUGGCGUUAUCUUUUAACACAUGGAAGUAGAGAGAACUCAAUCACUCAUUCAGAACACCACCAAGCUGGUUGGAGAUUUCUUCUCCUGAGGUUGCUGUUGGAAUCCACAAAGACAAUAUUGAUCCUGUUCUAAAACAUAUCAUCUUAUGUCACGGCGUUGGUUUGCCCAUGCUUCUCCUACUCUUUUCAAUGCAAGGACACCAAGGCCUCAAUUGAGUAGAGGCUUCCAUGUGUGCAUGAUAGAGGACAAUAUUGAAGGAAUAUACGACACUUUGAAGGAGUGUGCUGUUAUUAGUAAAUCUGCUGGAGGAAUUGGAGUUUCUGUACACAACAUCGAUGCCACUAGUCUUAGCUUUGAAGGAUCUUUCUCUGGAUGGAACACUGGCUCCUGAAAUUUGUAAUCUUUUG